ensembl:lncRNA
AUGUUUGACGGAUCCCACAUUUCAAUAUCAUUUCAUUCUUUGUACCGAGUGGCGAGUCCACAGACUGCGCGUUGGCGGCCGGGUCUCGGCCGGUUGAUCUCUCGCCUGCCGUCGGGAUGUGACCGUUCUGACGCUCCUCGUUCGAGGCCCCUCUGGACUCCAGCACAGAAAUCUGUGGAUCAGAGGACGCUCGGGCUCAUUUCGGUGUCUCCAGCAGGUCUGCUGUGGGAACACGUCCAUCUUCUCCACCCUCUUCUCCAGCUCGUACUCUGCCGAGGCUGCGACUGGAUCUACAUCAUCAUUGCGCCGAUCAUAAUCCUCAUUGGAGAAGUUUUAAGACGCUGUGAACUUUGCAGGCAGCCCUCCCAAAUCCCCGGAUGUGUCCCUGAGGCUGUUUGGAUUUAUAAAAGCUCAUGACACAGUACAGCGUGGAAAGUAGGGCACAGCUGGGCAGCGCUGAGCAAUAGAUGUAGCAACGAUCAAUGUUCAGAGGCGACAAGUGUGGCCAGCAGCACAGUCAAAAGACAUACACGAAAGAACGUCACAACGAAAAAACGAAUCCCGUCAGCGUCUGUCAAUCGGAUGAGCGAGUACUCAACACCAGCCUGUAGUGAUAUUACAUACAGCACUAUUUACCUUCAAAAGCUAUGAUACCAAACACACGUUUCAUUCUCAAUCCACUCGAAACAACGAUUCAUCUGCUCAGCUUUCCUUCAUUUGUAUUGAAAUCCUGAAAUUUAGUAAUGGGCGAAAGUAAUGAAUGGGACACAACGUUAAAUUGGGACUAAGAAGACCAGCAUAUCUUAAUAUCUAUCUAAAUAAAUACUCCUUAUCAAAAUAAUGUCACAAUCCCAACAGAACAAUGAGAAAAGCACCAGAGAGUGAGACUAGUUUAGACAUUGUUGAUGAAAAGUAAAUUAGGAUUUGGCAGACUCCAUUAGGGGCUAAUGCCUGAUAAUAGGGAUGCACCCAACAGUGGGUCCGUACCAUUACCCAUACUUGAUCAACAUUAAUCUUAAUUUGGGUGGGGGUAUGAUGAGACAGUGGCCAGGUGCUGCUGACUGAGAAUAUGGCUCCUCUGUGCAUGUGAGAACAGCAGGCUUACUAAAACACAGAAGUUUCCAUCUGGAAAUAAAACAGAGGAAAGUUUGACAUCUUGGAAAAACAUGAGCCGCAGGUAGAAUAUGAAUAAAAUACAAGACUACAGUAGUUUUCUUCUUGAACUCUUGCCAGGCUUCUUUCUGUUCUAUUGAAUGUCAUGAAUGACCUAAAAAUAUAUACAUAUUAAAAAAGCAUAACAUUUUUAAAGCAUUAGCAGUGUGUAUAUGGCAUACAGGUGUGGAAUGGGUGUUAUGAACAUCUGUCACCCAUCCCACACUCACUACACUGGCUCCCUGUCUCUUUCCGGAUUGACUACAACAUUCUACUACUCACUCACGAAUGCAUAAAUGGACAUGCACCUCCCUAUCUGCAAGAACUACUCACUCCCCAAACCUCCACCCGCACCCUCAGAUCUGCAAGCAGCUCGCUCCUCCGGGCCCCCUACACCGAGCUGCGCCCCAUGGCAGCGCCGUGCACGUGGAACCGUCUCCCUGACCACCUGAGGGCAGUACGGUCACUGGACUCUUUCACAACUGGCCUGAAAACCUUUUUAUUCAAGGAGGCGUUUUCUACUCUAUCUUACGUAUUUUCUUCCCCUAUGUUUUUUACUAGCUUUUACUUUAUAUUUAAAUAUGUUUUACCAUCUAUGUCGCACUCUGGGAUCUGCUGCGUUAUAAAUAAAAUGUAUUAUUAUUAUUGAAACCUUAGAUUUGAAUUUGGGAUACAGCGUUGGAUCUUUUCCUGGUCUUGAAACACACGUUCAGAACCAAAUGGUAUGAGUGCCGGUCCCUGAAUGAAUACUCAAUAUACCAUAACAACCACACAUUCAUGUGAUUCCAUCAUUUCUGAUAAUAAUUGGAGAUUUUGCAGUUAAAUGACCUAAGCAUGAUAUUUAGAGCCUAGUUUGCUCUACAGCACAGGGCGUGUUACAUGUGUGUGUACAGAUUAAGAAACACACACACACACACACACACAAAUCAGUACAUACAUGACUUGGUACACUUGCGGGUACCUCUCCUUCGCAGCCUCCCAGAACCAACCCCAAAAAAGAUUAGAAACUUGUGGAUCACGCACACUACUGCAGCGCUGUGCAGACAGGAAUGCUAUUCAUGGGGCCUCGACCCUCCAUCUACCCGAGGGA